AAGACUAUAGACCUGCGGAGUACCUGCGGAAGGAUCAUUAUUGAAAUAAAAAUUGGUGUCGAGUUGCUGCUGGCUUUUCGGAGUAUGUGCACACUCAUACCAUUUUUAUACAAUCACCUGUGCACUUUUGUAGAUGUCUUUUAAUACUUGAGGAUCUUACUAGCUUGUCUAGUGUUUCUCGUAUUAAAGGCUCUAUAUUUUUAUACACCCCAUGAAUAGUCCCAGAAUGAAUACUAUUUA
rnacentral:misc_RNA from 1 species